GCUGGGGAUGUGCUCAAGUGGUAGCGUGCUCACCUAGCAUGCGUGAGGCACUGGGUUCGAUUCUCAGCACAACA
rnacentral:tRNA from 1 species